UAACACGUGGGUAACCUGCCCUAUGCUGGGGAAUAACCUCGGGAAACUGAGGAAUAAUACCCCAUAGUUCACCACGCCUGGAACGGUGGGUGGAUGAAAGCUCCGGCGGCAUAGGAUGGGCCUGCGACGUAUCAGGUUGUAGGGGGUGUAACGUACCCUCUAGCCAUCAACGCGUACGGGUGUUGGGAGACAUAGCCCGGAGAUGGAUUCUGAGACACGAAUCCAGACCCUACGGGGUGCAGCAGGCGCGAAAACUUGGCAAUGCGAGCAAUCGUGACCAGGGAACUCCAAGUGGCUGGGGUAAUACCCAGUUUUUUCUUGACUCUUCAAAGGUCUUGGAAUAAGGGGUGGGUAAGGACGGUGCCAGCCGCCGCGGUAAUACCGGCGCCUCAAGUGGUAGUCGCUUUUAUUGGGCCUAAAACGUCCGUAGCCGGUCUGGUGCAUUCGUGGGUAAAUCAACCCGCUCAACGGGUUGAAUUCUGCGAGCACGGCCAGACUUGGGACCGGGAGAGGUGUGGGGUACUCUCAGGGUAGGGGUAAAAUCCUGUCAUCCUGAGAGGACCACCUGUUGCGAAGGCGCCACACUAGAACGGAUUCGACGGUCAGGGACGAAACCUAGGGGCACGAACCGGAUUAGAUACCCGGGUAGUCCUAGGUGUAAACGCUGUGGACUUGAUGUUGGGGGUGCUCCGAGCACUCUCAGUGUCGAAGCGAAGGUGAUAAGUCCACUGCCUGGGGAGUACGGUCGCAAGGCUGAAACUUAAAGGAAUUGGCGGGGGAGCACUGCAACCUGAGGAUUGUGCGGUUUAAUUGGAUUCAACGCCGGGA
rnacentral:rRNA from 1 species